rnacentral:rRNA from 1 species
GUAGGGAAUAUUGGACAAUGGGCGAAAGCCUGAUCCAGCAAUGCCGCGUGAGUGAUGAAGGCCUUAGGGUUGUAAAGCUCUUUUACCAGGGAUGAUAAUGACAGUACCUGGAGAAUAAGCUCCGGCUAACUCCGUGCCAGCAGCCGCGGUAAUACGGAGGGAGCUAGCGUUGUUCGGAAUUACUGGGCGUAAAGCGCGCGUAGGCGGCGAUUUAAGUCAGAGGUGAAAGCCCGGGGCUCAACCCCGGAAUAGCGUUUGAGACUGGAUUGCUAGAAUCCUGGAGAGGUGAGUGGAAUUCCGAGUGUAGAGGUGAAAUUCGUAGAUAUUCGGAAGAACACCAGUGGCGAAGGCGGCUCACUGGACAGGUAUUGACGCUGAGGUGCGAAAGCGUGGGGAGCAAACAGGAUUAGAUACCCUAGUAGUCC